GAGUCAGGGGAGCCGAUGAGAUAGGUGUCGAGACCGUCGAACUUCUCGACGAGGCCGGAGCCACUCGAUGGGUUCAGGGUUGGUGGGUGGGAGCAGCACUGAGGGCUUGACAUUUUGUUUGUACUUUUGUUUUUCUCUGAAGCAAACACACUCUCUGCUUUUCUGAUCAAAUGAUUUAUAAGGUGGUUAGGGACAGAUGGCUUGAGACUGAGAGUUGCGUAGUCGACAAGAAAUGAAGGUUUUGAUUUAGGGGAACUUUAUCUUAAUUUAUGUACAUUAAACAUUGACCUUCUUUCUUUUCAAUAAUUACGAUCUGAUUUAAUAUGAAUUAAACAAUGAACCUCUUUCAUUUCAAUAAUUACAAUCUGAAUUUACUCAAAUUUGGAGCGUGACAAUAAUUUUACGAGGAAAUGGGAGGAAUGGUCCUUUAACUAUCCUAGAAUUGUAGCUUUAGUCCUUAAAUUAAAAUAUUAUUAUAUUUGGUCCUUGAAAUGUGGAGCGUUAGUCCUUCAUUACCAAUUCCGUUAAGUUUUAGUUAAAAGUGUUUACAUGUUAGUUUCACCUAUAUAUAAUAGAAAAGAUGAAAAUUACAACAAAAAUUGGAGGCCUACCUCAUCCACCAACACUCACAGCCCACCCCUUCAACUUCAAUCUUUGAUACACUCCCCGCCAACCUCCCACUUCCAACCCCCAAUCGUUAAUCCCCACUCCCCAGCUGACCCCAACCUAUAGCCUACGAAGCACAACCUUCACCAAACCCUGAACCCGCAUCCCACAAAAUUCUUGAAUCUUACCUGUCGAAACAACGUGGAUGGAUGUCAUUGUGAAUUCGUUUACAAAGGGAGACGUGUUCGAAAUUUGGAUUAGAAACUUUCUUUUGUUUUGGUUGUUUGGAGAGUGCUACAAUGUCGUGGCUGCGGUUUGGAGGAGGCGAGGCAGAAGGGAAGACGGGAGAGAGAGAGAGAGUUAACUUUUAUAUUUUUAGUAUUUUUAUUUUGGAGAAAUUAGGUUAUCAUCAUUCUUUUUGCUACUUCACUGAUUAAAAUCUUAUUCAUUUUCAAUUUUUGAUCAAGGUCCUUGGUAUUAAUAACAUCAUUAAUAAUUUCAAUAAUAAAAUAUUUUUUUAUUUCUAAUAUAUUCAUUUAAUGUUAAAAAUGUUACAAUUAGUAUAUUUAUAUUUAUGACUAAAUUUUUUGUCAUAUAUUUUUAGUUUUAAUUUAUACCCAUUUUUAAUUUGUACCAAUUUUCUUUUUAGUUUUAAUUUGUACCCAUAUAUUAACUUCUUUUUGUGCCCUUAUUUUUUAAAGUUUAUUCGUAUUUGUACCCAUAUUUUUUUUAUUUGUACAUUUUAUUUUGCUAAUUGUACCCAUGCUAAUUAUAUGUACCCAUUCAUGUAAAACUUUUUAAUCUAAAAAUGUACUCAUUCUUAAAUAUAUCAAUUUGUUAUAUGUAAAAUGUACCUUUUUUUAUAUAAAAUGUAACAAUCCGUCCCAAAUCUUACGUUUUUACAAAAUUUAAAAGUGUGAUUUUACGAAAAUGCCUUUAGAUGCGAUGGUCUUGACAUCCGUUGACCAACGUAUAGCAAGGUGUAUGAAUUAAUACUUAGCGUUUUCUUGAAGUACUCGAUGUUACAGAAUUAUAAAACCGAGAAGUACUUUUGCUUAGUCGCUAUUCAUAUAUUUUAUACAUUUUUAUAAUGAUAUAUUUUGUUUAUCAUUUAGUGAUUUUAAAAAUAGUUGAAGAAGAAGAGGAAGAAGGGGGGGCAUGGGAAAGAGAACAGAGGGAAGGGCUGCUGCCCAAUCAGAGGAGAGGAAGAGAGAAGACUGCCCAAUUAGAAGUAGAAGCGAGGAGGGAAAUGAGGGAGAGUGGAGAGCGGGGGAAAAGGGGGGGGGGGGGAAACGGGUUCCCAACCCGUGACCCGUGUACACCCAGUCUAAUUUUCCAUAUUUUCCGAUGGUUUUCCAUCGGAUUUCUCACGAAAUUGGACCAAGAAACCAUUCCCAAUCAUCCCCUAGUCCUUUCCUCUUCCAUUCCCAAUCAAAUUUUAUAGGAUUUGAACUUGAAUUCGAGUAGAAUGAAACUGUGGGUUUCGAGGGUGCCAUGACAAAAUCCGAUGAUCAUGAAGGUAAUCCAGCAAAUUGCUACCACCACUAGACUCCCCUAGAACCCAGGAACAAAGCCCUCAGUGGUGGAGGCGUCGGAACACGUUUGAAGGUCGAAUCGAAGCACACCCAAUUCUAGGGUUCCGAUGGGUUUUGAUGAAAUUAGAGCCUUUCCAGGCCAAAUUUGCCUUGGUCACAGGUAUGAAAGUUGUUCUACUCAUUGAGAUCUUCAAAUCUAAAAAUUUUGGUAAGUUUUAGAGAUAGUUGAUUUUUCCGGUGAGUUGGGGCGGCCAACCGCCACCCACAGCGGCGCGUGCGGUGGCGUGUGGCCAGAGGGCCGCCAAUGAUAUUUUUAGGCUAUAUUUGAUGCCUUGAAUUCAUUUUUGAGAAUUGAAUGAUGUAGAUUGAUCGUUAGAACCAAAAUUCUCUAAGAUACGUUAAUAGGCCAUUAUAUGAAUCGACAAUUCGACCGUUGGAUCGUUAUCAAACUUUAAUAGGUUAUUAUUCAUAAUAUGUGAGGAAUAUAGGAACUUAAGGAUUGGAAAUCCGACGUAUGGAUCUUCUCGAAUUGGAUUUGUAAGUUCGUAAAAUAAAAUGUUAACCGCCACUUGGUUUUGGCAAUUGGCGGAGAUCCGACCGUUGGAUCGUUCCGAAACUUUAGUUUGUUAUUCUAGAAGCAUAAUGUGGAUCCUUGGAAGUUACGGAUCAGAGAUCUAAUUUGUAGAUCUUCUGGACCGAAUUACGUAGACUCAUGUGCAAUAUAAGUUAUGUAUUAUAUCAACGAGAAUUCUAAGAUAUGGUUUGAUAAUUGGUCACAGGUGCCGAUCGUUUGUGACGCCUCGAUGUUUGUGCUAGGAAGUUGUAACGCGGACUCUAGGUGAGUGGAUCUUUCCUUGCUUAUCAUAUUUUUCAUGAUUGAUAAUUCUAUAAAUGCUUUUAAAUAAAACUGAGAAAUUUAUGCCAUGACAUAUAUAUAUUUAUAUGUUAUAAAAUACUAUGAUGGUUGAGUUUAAAUUUCAACGUGAUAUAUCCAUAUGCGUAUUACUAUAAAUGAUUAUUGCGCACUACGAAUGGCUUGAUCCCUGUUUAGGGUACGUAGGCGGUCUAACGAGACGUUAGAUGCAGCCAUAUAAGAAAUGAGAUUAUAUAAUCGAGACAAUAGCCUUGUUUAAGGAAUUGAGCAAUGUGAGGGAUAUUGGUGAAAAAUGUGCGUUUUAACUUUAUGUUUUGGUGAUUAAUAGUUAGUACACCGUAUUAUAUAAUUGGAAAUACUAUGAAAUGUUUUUAUUUUAGAUUUCAUCAUGGCAUAUCCAUACGUAUAUUCCUUGCACAUAAUUAUUGUGAACGUUCUGAAGUGCAAAGGUGAACGCAGGACACAUAGGUAAGUUCAGGUAAGCUUAGGUAAGUUCAAGUAAGUAUACGGUAUUAGUUGAAUUGAUGGGGUUAUGAUAUGACUACAUUUAUGUUUAAAGCAAUUCCAACACUGUCGUACAUGUUGCAAUAGUAGGCAACUUCGGCAUUGUCGUACAUGUUGCUUAUGAGUCGUACAUGUUGUAUUAGAUGCAUUCAAAGCUUAUAAACCUACACCCUGGUGUUAGUGCUCCCGCCUGUGGCCAGGGCACAAUCCUUCACGUAAUGUUCACCUCUUGCACCAUUCGCUCACCUUGAAUUCAAGGUAGGUGCACAGACCUGUCGUACAGACCAUUAUAGGUGGUUCCGACUCAUAGGUGACUCUUCACGUGAUUGUAGCACUUAAUCGUAUUCAUUUACCCCCAAUCCUAUCGUACAGACCAUUAAUGUGGUUCCGACUCGUGUGUAGGCGUAGUGCCGUAUAGGUCACUAGAGGUGACUCCGGUUUAUGUGCUAGCAAUGAUUAAUGAAAUAUGAGUACAGUUGUACAGGUCACUAGAGGUGACUCCAACUUAUAUGCUAGCCAUGAUUGAUGAGAUAUGUGAUGAGCUAGCAUAUGUAAUGAAUAAGAGACGAGCUAGCAUAUGUGAUGAGUAUGUGAUGAGCUAGCAUAUGUAACAAAUAAGAGAUGAGCUAGCAUAUGUGAUGAGUAUGUGAUGAGCUAGCAUAUGUAAUGAAUAAGAGACGAGCUAACAUAUGUGAUAAGCUAGCAUAUGUAAUGAAUACGUGACGAGCUAGCAUAUGUAAUGCAUAUGUUAUGAACUAGCAUAUGUGAUGAAAUAUGGGUAAGUUGUACAGGUCACCUUAGGUGACUCCAACUUGCGUCCUAGUAUGAGUUAUUAAUCGCAUGAUUAUUUGAUAUUAUUGAUGAAAUGCUGUGUUGUGGUAUAUUAUGAAUUUUUUGGAAACUAUACAGGUGUUGUAGUGAGGGGUUAUAAUGUUUCACAUGGUUUCUAUUAAUACUUACAGGGCCACUCACCUUGUCUUGUCUUCACCCUCCAGGUUUUAUUAGCUGAGCUUUCUUAUCGUCGAAGAUUUGUAGCGAUUCUUAGUAUUGGAGAUUAUUUCGAGGGUACGAUUCUUAAUUCACUCUUCUGUACUUGCUUAUGCUCUAACGUUACAUGUGAAGUGAGUUCAUUCCCGCUCACAGGUGCACUCUGGUAUUUAGGCACUCUUAGGUUUAAAUUUAUUCACAAUCUUCCACAUCAUCACAUUUUAUGGCUUCGUCACCUUCCAGGUGUUGGCCAGCACAGCUCGAUUCAGAGUCCUAGUGGACAUUCCGGGUCGGGUGUGUCAUAAAAUCUAUUCAAUUUUUUUUCUAAUCCAUUUUUAAACUUAUAUGGGUACAUUAAUUAUUUUUUCUUUGAUUUUAAAAUGUAUCCAUGUCAAGUUUAAUUUAAGAAAUUUACUAAUGUUAUUAAGCCUAAUAUCUUUCUUUUUUUUUUGUGAUUUUGAAGAAUAUACCCAUGUUUUGAUACAAUAAAUUUUUUGGUUAAUUUUGAUGAAUGUACCCAUGUUUAUAUAUAGAUACACACACAAUAGAAUAUUUAUAUUUUAAUAUUUUUAAUCCACAAAUUAUGGUUUUUUAUUUAAAAUCUCAUUUAUAUAAACAACUAAAAUUUCUAAUUUUUAAUUUAAAAAAUAUAGUAACGUACAUAAAAAUAAAUUAUCACAUUAAUUUCAGGGACCUUGAUCAAAAAUUAAAAACCAACAAGGUUUUAAUCAAAGAAUAUUCAUAGCUAAGGACCGUAUCCAAAGUCUCCCUUUUAUUUUUGUUUUUCUUUCUCUAUGUUUGUAUUUAUUUUUAUUUUGAAUUUUUAAGCCACGUGGCAUUUAGUAACAAAAAUAUGGAGCCCACAAAGACCACGUCAUCAAACUAACGGAAAAUCUCACGAUGUUAGUAUGGAGGAACCAAUGCUCUACAUUUUGUUAAGUUCAAGGACCAAAUCUAAUGAAUUUUAAGUUUAAGGACCAAAACUACAUUUCGAUCAUAGUUCAGGGACCAUUCCUCCAAUUUCCUCUAAUUUUACACUUAUCUAAUUCUCACAACUAAGGAAUCGUAGUUAACUUAAUGAAGAUGAAUACACUAGAUCAUAAUACUAAAUGGUCAAAUCGUAAUUAACUUUGAUUUCCUUUGAUGACUUUGACAAAUGAACUACCAACCUACACCAUUAAAUAAGUUUUAUUAUCUAAUCGUAACACAAUUAUCUGGAAUUAUCAAAUCAAAAUAUAAAUAUCAAUUCGUUGAAGAUCUACUAAUUAGCUACGAUUAUAUGAUAUCUUCUUCACUUUUAAGUGGAAGAUUUCAAGUUCAGCUCGCAUGAAUGACUAGAAAGUAAUAUAUUUAUAGGCUUUAACAAGUUUUGGUUAGCCCUAUGCCUAUCGAUUCACCCCAGCUUCUACAUUGGAGUCUAUCUAAUGUAGAAUAUGAGUGAAUUGGGGUGUUUGGUUACAAAGUGGGAUAGCUAUAAGGUUAAUUUUAUCAUAUUAAAAUUAUUUUAUGCUAAUGUCAAUAUAAAAUUAACGAAACUCUAACGGAAUGAGGUUUGUGAAAUGAUUUUGAAACAUCAAAGGUUUUUGUGUUACUUUCAAAAUCGAAAGAAUUUUUGUGAAAACUCAAAAAAUUCCAAUAAGUAUGUAAUUAACCCAAUAAAAAAAUAUGAAUAUAUACAAUUGACAACUAAAACUUUUCAGAAAAAAAAAAAAACAAAAAUUUGUUGCAGUCAUAUUUAUAAUAAGAAUGUGAUUGUGUAAAUCCUAGUAGAUCUAGGAAUAUCUCUUAUAUUCCUAUUAUGAGUUGAUUACUUAUUAAGAGUUGUAAUCCUAAAUGAGUAAAAUUUUUGACUAUCCUACUACUAUAAAUAAAGGCACAAUGGGAUGAUACAACAACACCUCACAAUUAAAUCUCUUUCUUCUCUCUUGCUACCGCUGGCCCCCUCCCUUUUUAUUCCCUUAGAAUAGCUUAGUUAAAUAGGCGUACAACACGUUAUUAGCACACUCUUUCCAAAAGCUGAGGAAUUGAUGGAUCAUAGGAAGAGGCUAUCUUCCACAAAAUUCAAAGACUCUUUUUUGUUUUCUGCCAAUCAGGUACACUUAAAAUAAAGGAAGAUAUUUGAAACGUCCACGAAGCAUGAAAACAUUUCCCAUGAUGCAUGAAUCCCUCUAUGUUUAUAUUUUCCUUACGAUAUAUAUAUAUAUAUAUUGUAUAUGUUCAUAUAUUUGUCAAUAUGUAUAUGUUUCAUGCAUUACGCAAUUAAAUUGCUAUCUGGAAUUUGUGAGUCAAAGCAUAUAAAUAAAUUAGAAACAAUUCUAGGGUUUUUCAAACCCUAAUUAUGUCGGAAAAAAAAAGAAGGGAAAAUUUUUACGUUGGGCACUGUGCAGCACCAUUGUGGCACUAUCGGACCAUCACUGGCCUGAAGCCCAGUCAUAUGGACCACACGGCAGCAGCUUUUGGGCUUGCUGCAUUGACCCAUAUAUCCCAAGGCCUUUGGCCUGAUGAAACUAAUGGGCCUGAAGUCCUAUAACCCAACCAAAAGCCUGCAGCUUUUUGGCCCAAUGUCCCGCGAGUCCUUCGCCCUCUAGGUUGUGCCAUGAAGCCUCAACCCACUCGCCCGCAGCCUUUGCUGCUGGGCUUGGCUUGCCCCAACCUGGACCCAACCUCGUCUGGGCUUCCUAUGCCAACCCAAGGCUAACGUUCCGUUGGGCCUGACUCGUGCCCCCCAUUCGGCCCAAAAGCUAGCAGUUGCUGCUACUGGGCUCACCUGUCUUGGCCCGUGGCCUGUAGUCAUAUAUGGGCUGCUUUUGCAGCCAUACCCGAGCCCAUUUACCCCUAGGACUUUGCCCUAUUCUCGGCACCCUAGCCCAAACCUGUUUUUGGGCUAUACUUUUUUGACCCAAUGCUAAUUUUUGACAUUUAAAUUAUUUUAACCUGAAUGUUAUUAUUAUUUUUGCUUCCACGAUCAACCCUGUUUGGUCCCGAUCUAUUGAAUUAAUUAAAAGUGACAUGCAGUCCAUUAAUUUGAUAAUUAAUCCCAAAGUAUUGACCUGAAUAUCACUUUUGGACAUUAUCGAUUCAAUAAUUUAUUUUUAUACUUUGAACUGUUGACAUACUUAUGUAGUAAUGAAGCUCUCACAAUUGAGUUCCCGAAGAAAUUCAAAUUUACUUCACUUAAGUCAGCAUAUUGCAUUUUGUGUUUCUUGCAGGAACCUCUCAUUUAUGAACUAAUCGUUCAAAAAAACUAAAUUGAACCUGUAGUUUCAUAUUUAGUGCCUUUGAAACCUGAAGUUUUCAUUCAAAACUUACCACAUGAAACCUAUAGUUUUCAUGCAUAAAUUAAACCAAUGCAUGUCUAUAGAACCCAACUGUUCUACGAUGUAUGUCUAUGGAUCAUCCGGAAGAUGCUAUUACAUCCAUGGAGAUAUUAGAUUUUCAGUCAGCGCCUAUGGAAGAAUAAAUUAGACAUAUUUUUAGGGUGUUUACCCUUAAUGGCCGAACCUAGUAGGAGUGGUCGGCCCCUCUCCCCUAUUUUUCUAGGUUUAUGGUUUAAUUUUGAACAAAUUUUCCAAGUCUUUGGAAUAAUUUGUUUGAUUUUGGUUUGUUUUGAAUUAUGGAUUGUUAUUUGAUGGAUAUUAUUUCUCGAAUUGCUUAAUUGAAUGAAUAGAAUUAUAUUUAUGCAUGUGACCAAUACAACCAAUUUAUUUCUAGGUAUGUCUAGUGGGGAAAUUAGUUGUCUGGCUGAUAGUGUUGCCAGGCACACCAUCUUGCGUGAGUGACACUAUUUUACUAACUUAAUACCUAAGAAAGCACCUCUGACAACUCUUUUAGGUCCAUCCAACCUCAUUGAAGGAUACAGAAAAGCUAGUAUCAUGUUGUCCAAUAGUAUAAUCUUAACCAAUAAAGAGGCACUCUAUUUUCCACUUUUCGGAAGAAGUUGUUGAGUUUUAGAGAUAUUCAAGAUAAUCAAUAUCAUAUUGAAACCCCUAAAGAUAAUGGUUUUGAAUUUCUUUGUAUCACUUCGUACGAAUAUUGCCAGAAGCAUAUUCACGAGAAGUUGGAACGUCUCCCGAGUGGGUUGCACAUAACAACCAUUCGCGACGCCUGAGUUCCAUAGCACUUUGUUGCUUUGGCAUGACCAUUUGGGACAUCCUGGAUGUGACAGGAUACGUCGUAUCCUUAAAUCAUCACAUGGGCAUCGGUUAUCUCCUUAUGUUGGAUUCCCGCCAUGCAAAGCAUGUUCUUUAGGGAAGUUGAAUACUCACUAGGGGAUAUUUGUGGACCUAUCCAACCAACCUAUGAACCAUUUUGAUAUUUUAUGGUGUUGGUUGAUACAUUGACAUGAUGGUCACAUGUUUGUCUAUUGUCUACACACAACACUACAUUUGUAAAACUCCUAGCACAAAUUAUUAAGCUAAUGGCUUACCCUGAUUAUCCAAUUAAGUCGAUUCAACUGGAUAACGCUGGAGAGUUUACAUCGCAGACUUUUGACGAUUAUUGCAUGUCAGUAGGGAUUGAUGUGGAACAUCAUGUACCCCAUGUUUAUACCCAAAAUGGCCUGGCAGAAGCUUUCAUAAAGCGCCUUCAAUUGAUAGUUCAGACUUUGGUUAUGAGAACUAAAUUGCCUCAAAUUGCCUGUAAUUGCCUGUAUCUACUUGGUGCUAUGUCGGUCCGCCUGAGGCCCAUCACUACCCAACCUCGUUCACUGUUACAGUUGGUUACUGGUACAAGCCUGACGUCUUGCAUUUACGUGUGUUUAGGUGUAUAAUUUAUGUGCCAAUAGUGCCGCCACUACGUACCAAAAUGGGUCCUCAAAGAAAAAUGGGAAUCUAUGUCGGUUAUGAUUCGCCAUCAAUUGUUCACUAUUUAGAACCCUUGACAGGAGAUCUCUUUAGCGCAUGUUUUGCAAACUGUCAUUUUGAUAAGACAAUCUUCCCAUUGUUAAGGGGAGAUAAGUACACUAACGUUCCUGUAGAACGCCACAAAUUGUCGUGGUAUGCUCCUACUAUGUCUCAUUUUGAUCCCUACACUGCCCAGUCUGAAACUGAAGUGCAACGAAUUAUAGAUCUUUAGAGCAAUGCUUAGAGCAUGCCAGAUGCUUUUAAUGAUCUAGCAAAUAUGACAAGAUCACAUAUACCUGCUGCAAAUGCACCUACAAGGAGAGAUGUACCUCGCAUACGUCACAAUCCCGCCUGGGAAGGCCGGACCGUACCCAAAGGUGGGGAGGCCCCACCUUCCAUGCAAUAAAGUACAUUGGCGGCUAGCCAAUCAUCUGCUCCGACCCUGAAGCAUGGUAGACUCCUUGGUUCUAAAGAUUCACAACCCCGGAAGAGGAAAUCGGCACCAACUAGUGACCCUAGUUUGAAUCCAACCAUCGUUCACUCAUUCGUUCCAACACAUGAGGUUAUUCUAGAUUAGGGUGAUGUCUUAGAUGAGAUAAAACGACCUCCCGAGAAUCGUGAGAUUUCGAUCCACUAUGGAAUAUUGGAUGAGGUUUGGAAUAAGAAUGAGAUGAUCGUCGACGAUGCAUUUGGGUACAUAGUAGCUACUGACAUCAUGCUUAGCGAUGACAUUGAACCACGUUCCGUUGAUGAAUGCCAACGUAGAACAUAUUGGUCAAACUAUAAACAAGCAAUCCAGGUUGAACUCAAUUCGCUUACGAAACGUAAAGUGUUUGGACCUAUCUUUCCUACCCCACCACGUGUGAAGCUAGUGGGCUAGAAGUGGGUUUUCGUAAGGAAGCGUAAUGAGAAUAAUGAAAUAGUGGGAUACAAAGCACGCCUCGUAGCGCAAUGUUUCUUUCACCAUCCUGGGAUUGAUUACGAAGAGAUGUAUUCCCCUGUAAUGGAUGUUGUAACGUUCUGCUAUAUAAUCAGUUUGUUAGUUUAUGAAAAACUGAAUAUGCAGCUUAUAUACAUGGUAACCGUGUAUCUCUAUGGGGAUCUAGAUAUAGAAAUAUACAUGAAAGUUCCAGAAAGACUUCCAUUGACUGGUUCAGAUAGUUCUAGACCACGGAACACUCUCUUGAUUAGAUCGAGGAGGUCACUCUACAGAUUGAAACAAUCCCAGUGGAUGUGGUAUAACCAUCUGCGUGAAUAUUUGACAAGUCAGGGUUAUGUGAACAACGAAUUAUGCCCAUGCAUGUUCAUAAAUAAGUCAAAUUCCAUAUUUGCAAUCGUUGCAGUUUCUGUCAACGACAUGAACCUUAUUGGAACUCCUGCAGUGCUUGAGGAAAUUGCUACGCAUUUGAAAUCAGAAUUUGAGAUGAAAGAUUUUGGGAAAACUCGGUACUGCCUCGGCCUGGAGAUCGAGCAUUAUUCAGAUGGAAUCCUAGUACAUCAGUUAAACUACAUCUAAAAGGUAUUGUGACGUUUUGUUGAGGAUAAAGCGAAGCCUUCGAGUAGACCUAUGGUUAUUCGGACUCUAGAUGCUAAACGAGAUCCUUUCCGUCCAAAGGAAGAUGAAGAAGAGGUUUUGGAACCCGAAGUUCCUUACCUAAGUGCAAUUGGGGCUUUAUUGUACUUGAAUCAAUGCAUUAGACCCAACAUUUCCUUUGUUAUUAAUCUUUUGGCUAGAUACAGCAAUGCGCCCACAUGCAGGCACUGGAAUUGUGUUAAAGAUAUUUUCCGCUACCUCAAGGGUAUGACGAAUUUGGGCUUGUUUUAUACCCGCGAAUCUUCGAGUGUUGCUGCCCCAUAUGGUUCUCGAAUUGAUUCUCGCCUUGUUGGUUAUGCAGAUGCUGAAUAUUUAUCUGACCCACAUAUGGCACAAUCUCAAACAGGCUAUGUCUUUACUGUUGGAGACACCGUUAUAUCUUGGAGGUCUACCAAGCAAAUGCUAGGUGCGACUUCUUUGAACCAUGCUAAGAUUCUUGCCCUACAUGAAGCAUCGCAUGAGUGUUGUUGGCUGAGAGCAGUCAUGGAACAAAUUUGAAGCACUAGUGGUCUUACUUCCGUCGUUGACCUUCCUACGACGAUCUUUGAAGACAAUGCAACAUGUAACGAGCAAUUAAAGAAGGAAUACAUUAAAAGAGACAACACCAAGCAUAUAGCGCCAAAGUUCUUUUACUCACACCAACAACAACAACAAAAUCAGAACAUUGAAGUCAAGCAAAUUUGUUCCCAGGACAACCUGGCAGAUCUCUUCACCAAGUUAUUGCCCAAGUCUACUUUUCAGAAGCUCGUCCAAGAAAUUGGUAUGUGUAAAUUAUCUAAGUUGAAUCGCUUGUAGUUCUCUUAUUUAGAAGUUAUGUCUAACUCAAGGGGCGUAUUCAGAAGCAUACUCACUUGAUUUUAAUGUACUCUUUUUCCUAUGAUUAGGAGCAUUUUUUCUACUAGGUUUUUGCUACCUAACGAGGUUUUGAUAAGGCACCCAUCCUAGGUUGAUCAUACUCCGUUAAGUUAACUACUUUCGUCCUGUUUGACAUUUGUUUUAGACAUUAUGCAUAUUUCUCACUUUUCUCCUUAGUAUAUAAGGUUUUCCCCAUGCCUUGUGUUUUACCAUAGCGAGGUUUUGUAAGUUUUACCACCAAUGCAUACUUUCUUUAAAUUUGAGACUCACGUUCACCCAUUGUGCCGAUGACUUCAUCAAUUAUUCUACCUUAUCUGCUGAAGAUCUGAUGUGAUGGUUUGUUAAGUAUUUACACACUCAAGGGGGAGUGUUGCAGUCAUAUUUAGAAUAGGAAUGUGAUUGUGUAAAUCUUAGUAUAUCUAGGAAUAUCUUUUAUAUUCCUAUUAGGAAUUGAUUACUUAUUAAGAGUUGUAAUCCUAAAAGGGUAAGGUUUUUACCUAUCAUACUACUAUAAAUAAAGGCAUAAUUGGGUGAUACAACACACACCUCACAAUUAAAUCUCUCUUCUCUCUUGCUACCGCCGGCCCCCUCCCUCUCUAUUCCCUUAGUAUAGCUCAGUUAAAUAGGCCUACAACAAAACUUAAUUUGUAGAGAGAAAUGUCCGAGCAAAAUAUAAGUAUCUCAUCUCCUUCCUAAGAUAAAUCCUACGCAUCUCACCUUGCUUAAAAUUAUGAUGGUAUACAACUAGUUACUUUUAAAACUUUCUCCGAAGCAGCUUAAAUUUGUAAAAAUCAGGUAGAAACUCGAAAAAAAAAAAAAAAAAACUUUUCACUAAUCACUUCUAUAAAACAUAUUUUUAAUCCACUUUAUAAUUCUCGUAAUAAUUAGUUAGUGAGGAGACAACUAUCCCUGCAAAAGGUAGGCAUUUGAUCUCCUUCCAAGUAGCGAGGGAGAGAGAAAGAACCCAUGCAUCACAUGGGAAUCAAUCAAAUACACAAAGCAAAAACAUGCCAUCGAGAACAAAUGCGUGAUGCUAUCUACAUUUUUUUUUACCUUUCACUUAUGUCCUUCGUGGUUACGGAACAAGUAGUUAAGCAAGAGCUACGGGAGUGAUGGAAGAACCUGGCCGAAGUCAGUGUUGUGUUCAACUCCACGGAUUGACUGCCUUUAGUCGGCUUAUACGGAUUAAUCUUUUUUUCAAAAACAGUCAUCUUCAAUUUGUCGAUUCAAUGGCCGAAAGUUGAGACGAGUGUGUGGAAAAUAAAGGACACAUGAAUAGCACCAUUCACAAAUUAAGCAAAGAUUAAUAAUGUAUGUGAUGAAAAGUAGGGACUAGUAGCUGAAUGCAUGGGUGGUGUUGGGGGGGGGGGGGGCUAGAUAAAGUCGAGUAGAUAAUUGAUUGCCCAUUGAAAUUUAGCUUUUGUUGCUUAUGUGAACAAGGCUUUGAGACUGAGCGACUUUGAUCCCUCAAUUAUUAUUUAUCAAAUACAAAGAUUUAUCUGGCUAAUCAGCUAGUUCCCCGACAAGAUUGAGAAAUUUCCUACUAAUAAAUUCGCACAUUUACAUCAUAUAAUUGUUCCUUCGGUCGUUUGGUUCCCAUCUCAGAUCUUAUAAAAUACAAUUGUCAUCAGCUUACUCUAGAGACUAGAGUGAUUAGUCAUAUAAGCAUGAUCAGCUGUUACAUUAUGGAAGUCUUUAUCAAGGAAGCUACAAGGUGUCUGAAAAUGUGUUUGGGCAUCGAGCAACUUAGGCAAUAAAAAAUUUUAAAAUUAGUAGGCACUAUGUGAUAGUGACAGUCGCACUAAAAAAAAAUUCAAGAUAAUUAGCCGCACUUGUUAAGUUCAUAUUCUCGAAUGUUAAGACCUUAGUUAGGAUUCUAGAAGAGACUAGAAAGAUUGAUCCGCACGUUGCUGCAGGAGUUUUAUGACAUAUUAUAUUUCGGACAUAUGAAUGGUGGUGUUGUAGGUGAUCAAAAGUAUUUACAGUGAGAAUGUGGGACUAUAUUUUACACCUAAAAGUUUCAAUUCAUAUUAGUUCAUAUAGAAAAUAUUACAAAAUGUUUGACCAUCACAACACAAAAAUGGUCAGGUUAAUACAUUCCCCUUCAGCCAUCUUUCCACUCUUUGAUAAGAUGAGUACUUCUAGAUAAAACAUGUUACAAAACUUUGGAACGUUUAUAUGCAAAAAAGAAUCGCUUCCCAUGUUUGCCUCCGUUAGUUAAUAAAAACCCGUUAGAGGACCAUUAAAAUUAGAAGAAAAAUGUAAUUUCACUACAAACCCACAAAAUGUACGCGACCCUGCCUAAAAAUAUUUUGGCGCCAAAUAGUCUUGCAGACAUCUAUUUUGCGGGAUUACAAAUCAGCUGCGUAAUUGUGCCGACGUCGAGUCUUUUGAGUUUGAAAAGCUUUUGAGAUUUUUGGCUAAUAGUUUGUUGGCAUCUUGUUCACUUUUAGUGGAACAAUAUUUGUUCUCAUUCACAUAAACUUAAUCCCAUGUACAUCAAUCAAGGACAUAAUUGAUAACUACAUCAAAGUCACGAAAGCAAUUUCCUUCGAGAUCACAAAGAAGAAUGAGAAUCCUUUUAUACUCUAAUAUUCAAUUUCAUGCAUGGGGCAUGCACUUGUUUCUAGAUCAUCUUUGUGAGUAUCCUGGGGAUCCUCCAAUCAUAUCCGUUCAUCGUAUAUUGUGCGGUCAGAAAUUAUUUUAAUAUUUUUAUUUAAAAUUGAACAUAAAUAGUACCUGACGAAAACUAACCGCACGAUGUACGAUAAAUGGCCACGAUUGGAGGAUCUCCGUGAUCCUUACAAAGAGGAUCUGGAAAGGAUCCUCAUUCCACAAAAUAAUGAGUAAUAUGUUGAAAGUGCUUUCCAAUUGAAGCUCACAUUCAAAUCCAAGAAGUUCUUCAAGAAAGGCAAUGCUCGAGAUGACCAGCAAGGCGGGGAGCAAAGAUGGAAAAAAGGCGAGUCUAGCAAAAGAGAUGAUACCAAAACCAACAAAGGUAAUAAGCCUUUUUGCAAGAUUUGUAACAAAAGUAACCAUGAUAUAGCUGAUUGUUUUAACCGCAGGAAGCCAAAGUGUCAUUAUUGCAACAAAUUUGGACAUGUUGAAUAGGAAUGCAGAUUCAAGAAUUCUAAUCAAGCAAAUUUUGCGGAGAAGGAUGAUGCAAAAGAAGGAAUUUAUUUUAUGCUGGUCAAUCAAAAUCCGAAGAAGGAAAUAAUGUUUGGUAUGUGGAUAGCGGCUGCAUCAAUCAUAUGACAUCAAAUGAAAAAUAAUUUGUUGAUUUGGACACUUCCAUUACUCCCAGAAUAAAUAUGGGAGAUGAUUAUUAUCACCAAGCGUUGGGGAAAUGCAUUGUUCCCGUCCAAACAAAAAAGGGAGUCAAAUAUAUCCAUGACGUUUUGCUUGUUCCAAACAUAGCUAAAAAUUUAUGUGUUGGGCAACUUAUGCGAAAUGGCUACAAAGUUGUUUUCGAAGAUGUGGAUUGCACUAUUUAUGAUAAGAAUGAUAAUGAACAGCUCGUUGCAUCGGUUCCGAUGGAGGCAAAUCAAACUUUCCCCUUUCAAUGCGUUGUGGAAAUGAAGUUUCUUUGAAGGUUGAUGUUGUGCAAGACUCUUGGUUGUGGCACAAAAGGUUCUGUCAUUUAAAUUUCCAGGGGCUAAAGCUUCUCCAAAAGAAAAGCAUGGUGAAAGGAUUACCAGAAAUUGAAGCAACAACUGAUGCUUGUGAAGGGUGCGUCAUGGGCAAGUAGCACCGUAAUUCAUUCCUAAGUCAAAGCACGUGGAGAGCAAAGGCACCGCUGGAACUUGUGCAUACUGAUAUUUGUGGCAAAAUGCCAACUCCUUCCUUAAGCCAGCACAUGUACUUUCUCACGUUUAUUGAUGAUUUUUCGAGGAUGACAUGUGUUUACUUUUUGAAGGAGAAAUAAAAAACUUUCAUUGUCUUCAAACAAUUAAAGCUUUAGUAGAAAAGCAAAGUGGUUGCAGCAUCAAAAUCAUUCGAAGUGACAGAGGAGGCGAAUAUACAUCUCAUGAAUUUGAAGACUACUGCAAAGAUGAAGGCAUUUGGAAGCAAUUGACAACAAGGUAUAGUCCACGACAAAAUAGGAUUGUCGAAAGAAAGAAUCGAACAAUCGUGGAGAUGGCUAGAUCUAGGAUGAAUGAGAAAGGGCUACCAAAAAGUUUUUGGGGAGAAGCUGUGUAUACAACAGUAUACAUUCUUAAUAGAUGUCCAAAGCCGUAAAGAACAAAACUCCAUUUGAAGCUUGGAGCGGAUUCGAACCUUCGGUGAGUCAUUUCAAAUUUUUUGGCUGCAUUGUUAUGCUCAUAUUUUUGCUGAAAAGAGAACUAAGCUUGAUGAAAAAAACCAAAAAUGUAUCUUUCUUGGCUAUUGUUCGAGCACCAAAGGUUAUAGGUUUUAUAAUGUUGAAACUAAGAAAUUGACUGUGAGUAGAGAUGACAUUUUUAAUGAAAAAGCUUGGAAUGAAAAUAAAGUUCAGGAGAUGCCAUGUGCAAUUGUGUAAGAAGAAGGUGAAAUUCCAAGAGAGCAGAAAGUCAUGCCUCAGACUCCAGUAGUUGCCGGAAGAAGAAGUUCAAAUGAUGCUGGAAGCAGUUCGAAUGCAGAACCUGUUUCUCCGAACUACUCUUCAUCAGAAAGUCCUCCAUUAAGAACUCGAAGUUUGAGAGAAGUGUACAAGACUUGCAAUUUCGUUGGUGUAGAGCUAGAAAGCUUUAAAGAGGCACAAAAUCAUGAAAUAUGGGUGAAAGCCAUGAAAGAAGAGAUCAGAAUGAUCAAGAAAAAUCAAACAUGGGAGUUGGUUGAUUAUCCACAAGAUAGAGAUGUCAUACACGUGAAGUGGAUUUUCAAGAUGAAAUUCAAUCAAGAUGGGAGCAUUCAAAAGCACAAAGCUAGGCUCGUGGCAAGAGACUUUACUCAAAAGCCAGGUAUUGAUUUUUCUAAAACCUUUGCUCCAGUUGCACGGUUGGAAACUAUUAGAACUUUGAUUGCUCUUACUGCUCAAAAGAAUUGGUUGAUUUAUCAACUUGAUGUGAAGUCUGCAUUUUUGAAUGGAGUGUUGGAAGUAGAAGUUUACGUUAAACAACCCCCAGGUUUCAUGCUUGAAGGGGGAGAAGACAAAGUUUACAAGCUAAAAAAAGCCCUUUAUGGGUUAAAGCAAGCACCUCGAACAUGGUAUGUUGAAAUUGAUAAAUACUUUGCCAAGCAAGGUUUUUAAAAGAGUCAAAGUGAGCCUACACUCUAUGUUUUGAAGAGAGGAGCUUCCAUUCUCAUUGUUUCCUUAUAUAUGGAUGACUUAGUCUUCACUGGAAAUGAUCAAGAAAGAUAUGAUGAGCACCUAUGAGAUGAGUGAUCUAGGUUUGCUUCAUUAUUUUUUGGGAAUUGAAGUUUCCCAAACCAAAAAUGGGAUAUUUAUUUCUCAAAAGAAAUAUGUAGAAAAUCUGCUCAAGAAGUUCAAUUUGUCUGACUGCAAAACAGUAGCUACUCCUUUGAUGCCGAAUGAAAAAUGAAGAAAUGUGAUGAUGCCGGAUAUCAUGUUUGCUUCAAGUAUGCUUUCAAGAUACAUGGAGGAACCAAGUCAGCUUCACUUUGGUGCCGGAAAAAGGGUGUUAAGAUAUGUGCAAGGCACGCUUGACCAUGGAAUUAUGUACAAGGCUGAAGCACGAAGUUCAAGGCUUAUCAGGUACACUAAUAGUGAUUGGGCUAGAUAUCUAGGAAGAACUAUCUAGUUAGAACUCUCUAGUACUUUGUAUUCUCUUUAUAUAGCCUUUGGCAUAUCAUUUUGUAUCAAGAGAGUUACAAUAAGAAGUAAUACAAGAGCUUUGCUGUAGCAACUCAGAUUUCCUAUAAACUUGUUAAGUAUUUCCAUCCCUCUACACUUCCUACAUGCCAAGCUGAAAUGAAAAUGUCUCCCAAGGUCUAAGUAAAUUCACGAAUCACAUACAUACAGAUACUUGUGAAAGGACUUAUAUUACAAACAAACAAAAUAUUUAGAAUCUGCAUCAAAACAAAAGAACCAACCGGUGCAUGAGCUUUUCUCCAAACGGGAAUAGAGGCAUGGUCCCCAUUAAAAGGGUCUCCGUUGAAGAAGUUAGGGAGCACAACAAUGAACCCAGCAGCUGCAAUUUUGUCUGCAAGGUUCCUUUCGAAGAGAAGGGCAGGUCGCAUUAGUUAAACGUAUAUGACAAUGUGACAAUCUCGCAAAAUUAAAAGUGAUACAGGUAAAAACCACAACUGUUCUUCAAAACAACAACUUCUGGUGUUGGAAACUAGAAGGGCCCGACCAAAUAUCUUUACAAUUGUACAGAGCUGACACUAAAAAAUGGAAAUGAAAAGAGAAGGGCAGAUGGCAUUAGUUAAAUGUAUAUGACAAUAUUACGAAAUUAAUAGUGAUACAAGUGAAAACCACAACUGUUCUUCAAAACAAGAACUUCUGGUGUUGGAAACUAGAAGGACCAACUAUCAUUUAUAAUUGUACAGAGUUGAUACUAAAAAUACAGGUGGGGAUCUUGAAAGCGUCACGAAAAGGGCAUCAGAACAGGUAAUUGAUGUAAAAUCUGAUACAAAAUGUAGUUACAUUAGACCUAUUAUAGCCUUUUUUUCCCUUGAGGAUUAAUGUAACUUUGAGUAUUUAAUUUCAAAAGUGUUCUCCAAGUCAUCCAAGAAAAAGAGACUCGAAGAACUUAUCUGCCAAGCUAUUCAAAACAAAUGAAUUAGCUGUAGAAAACAGAUAUGGGAAUGAGUCAUACCUUGCCUUUGGAGCUUCAUACCCUCCAUGGCCAAACAAAAUUUAACAUUAACAGGUGGUUUUCUUAUAGAACAGCAAUGCAAUCAACUGUAUAGCAGAGACAUAGUUUGAAGGAUCGAAUAUCAAUUACGCUAUUCGAAUUCCCAAUUGGAAGCAAAAUGGGAAAGAAAGAACAACAAUCAUGCAAAAACAGAAGAAAGAAAGAAAAGAAAUUGGGGAACAAGUAAAUAGUUGAUCAAUUAAUCAAACAUAUGCACAAAGCCAAAAGGAAAAGGAAAACGUCAGAACUGAUUCCUCCAUCAAUUAAUCAAACAUAUGCAAGUGACAAAGAUUUUAGAUAGACGAGCCAGUAGCCCAUUACUAACACACCGUAACACAGAUAGUAAAUACAUACGACCUCGAUAUAAUUAAAAGUAGAACCACUCAACAUAUAUCAGUUAUCCGACGUGAGAUCUUGCACCCAUUAUUUCACACAAGCUAAAAACACACACAGACAACUGAAACUCACAAACUCCGAUCAUAAGCUAAACAAAAAGCGGAAACUUUAGAAACAAGUAAAAAAAGAAAGACUUUUGGAGUGCCAGUGGUGGGUAAAGUACCAAAAGCAUCAUGGACGAGAAGAACGGAAAGCUUGGAGUCAGGGGAGCCAGUGACAUAGGUAUCGAAACCACCGAGCUUUUCGACGUGGCCAGAGCCGCUGGACGGGUUCAGGGCUGGUGGAUUUGAGCAUCACUCAGAGCUUGCCAUGAUUUCUUUCUUUUUUUUUUCUCUUAAUUCACAAACACAAACACACUCCAGUAUUUAUCAAAUAUAGCCAAAUAUUAGUCUUUAAUUUAAAAAAUGUCAAUUUUUAUAAAAAUUUUCAUAUAUAUCCAUAAUUUUACUUAAAUAGACACAAAUACCCUAAAAUUUUAAAAUCAAAUAAACUAAAAAAUAAAAACCCUAUAUGAUAAAUUUCUGACGGCAAAAGCUAAGAAAUAGUGGAGACAUACUGAAGGCUUCGCUAUUGGUUGUGUAGCCCUAAACAACAGUAUAGAUGGUUAAUUUUUUUUCAUUUUUCCUCAUCUACGAUUUCUUUUUAUUUUUUUAAUUCAUUCCAUGUUUCAAUCGGUAUCUUUUUUUUGGUUCUUUGGUUUCGCUGAUUUUGGGAGAGAAAUAGAUAAUACUUACAUGUGUUUUUGCAGUUUUGUGGUUCUUUGCUAUCGGUCUGUAUGUAUUUGGGUACAUUUUUAUUUGUUCUCAAGUGUUUAUGCAAUGUAGUUUUUAUGUAAAUUGCCUAAUGUAACUUUAACAUCAUUGCUUAUGUAGUUUUUAUCCAAAUUGCUUCUGCAUUUGAACAUAAUUGCUUCCGUAGUUUUUAUGCAGGUUGCCUUCGUAACUUAUGCAGCAGACCAGUAUCUACUUCUCUUACAAAUCAUUUGUUUGCAAAUUGCUUUUGCGUGUAAAGAAUUAUCCUACCAUCAAUUACGCAAAGAAGACAUGAUAGGAGGAAAAAAAAAGAGAAUCCCAUUACAUGAAGAAGAAAAAUCAACUCGGAAGUGUUCAAAGUGUGGUUCAAAUGACCAUUAUAAAUAAACUUCUAGGAAUCCGAUUCAACUUCAUCCUACUUUGUUGAACUCUUUUAAAUUUGGAGCGUAAUGAAUAAAUUUUUAUUUGGAUUGUUGUAUUGUUUAUUUUGGCUGUACAAUCCUUUAAAUUUGAGACAAGUAAAAGUUAAUUUAUUUUUAUUUGUUCAUUAUGGUAGUUCACUUGUUGCUAUAUAUAUAUAUAUAUGUUUUAUGUUAAUUGCUAGCUGGAUAAGAACAAGAAAUCUGGCCAAGUAAGAUUCUAUUUAUUAAAAAAAAUAAAAUUGAGAGAAACCUAUGGUCUUUGUUUGACAAAGAAAAUUAAAAAAAAAUGAGAAAAAUAUUGGUGGGACCAACAUUUGAUUAAAGUACAAGAAAUUUUUUAAUCAACAACUAUUCACAUAUAUUGAGAGUAUUUGUAUCUAUUUAAGUGAGAUUUUAGAUACAAUUCAAAGUUUUUAUAAAAAUGACAUUUUUGAAAUUAAGAGUGAAUUUUUUACUAUUAUUGAUGAAUUCCCAACACAAUCUGUCAGUGUUUGAUUGAGCUAGGACAACUAAGGCUAUAUUUAAAGAGGGAAAAUAAUUCUCCGGUAAAUAAAAUAUACGGAAAUUUCAGAAUUUGAUAUUUGUUAUUUAUUCAAGGGAGUUUCAUGAAAAAUGACUUAGUGUAACAUCCCACAUCAUCCAAGGGAGUGGAUCCUAUAAGCCUUAUAUGUAAAUUUCUAUCUCUUCCUAGCACGAAGGUAUUUUGGAAGCUCACUGCUUAUGGUUCCAUCGAAACUCCGAAGUUAAGUGAAUUCGUACGAGAGCAAUUUCAUGAUGGGUGACCCACUGGGAAGUUCUCGUGUGAGUUCCCAGAAACAAAACCGUGAGGACAUGGUCGGAGCCCAAAGCGGAGAAUAUCGUGCUACGGUGGAGUUGAGCCCGGGAUGUGGUGGGGGCCCUUGCCGGGAUGUGACACUUAGGUUAAGUUUAUUUUAACCAAAAACCAUACUAUAACUUUAUUUAAUGAAAAAUAAUAAAUUUUAAUAAAAAAAUCCUUAAAUUUUAAUAAAAAUGACAAAAAAAACUAAAAUUUUAAUGAAAAAACACAAUUUUAAUAAAUAAAAAGAAAAAAAAAAUACUUGACGCGCUGGACUCGCGCAUCUAUAACAAACAUUAUUUAUGAAACUGAAUACUAUUUAUGAAACUGAAAGAUAAUACACUAUUUAUUGAUCUACUUUCAUAAAUAGUGCCUAGUUCUUGGUCCAUUUUCAUAUAUAGUGCCUAGUUCUUGGUCACGUUUCAUAAAUAAUGCUUAGUUAGUAGGUCUAGUUUCAUAAAUAACGUAUAAUAGUUGAUACAAUUUCAUAAAUAUUACCUAGUUAUUAGUCCACUUUCAUAAAUAGUGCCUAGUUCUUGAUCAUGUUUCAUAAAUAGUGUUUAGUUCUUAGUCCAGUUUCAUAAAUAAUGUAUAGUCUAGUUUCAUAAAUAGUUUCCACAUCUUGGCUUAGUUUUAGAAAUAAUGGCUAAUUCUUGGUUUCGUUCCAUAAAUAGUGUCUACUUAUUGGUCUAGUUUCAUAAAUAAUGUCUACUUAGUGGUCAAGUUUUAUAAAUAAUGUCUCAUUCUUGGUUCAGUUUCAUAAAAUUUGAAACUUAGACCCUGUUUGGUCCUAUAAAAGCACCAAUUGCGCUGAAAACGAUGAGCCAAGUUGUGACGACCCGUCCCGAAUUAUAAUGCAUUUUAUCCCCGAUACCGUGGAAAUGUCGAUUUUACCCUUGAGCGUUGGGUUGUGAAUGUAUAAAUGGACUAAGGAAAUUGACCAAUUAUCUCAUUUCCGACUUCUUUGGACCCAAUUGAAAUUUGGGAUUGUUUUGGAUGAUUUUUAGCCUAUAAUUGGUGGUCCAAUUAGAGCUUUAGGAUUGUAUAUGGGUGCCCAAUCUGGAUCAGGACACACACACACACACAUUCACACAUGUUCACCUUCUCGUACUCUCUCUCUCUCUUGGUCUCGAACACUCUCUCUCUUCGUACACCUAAGACCAGCCAUAAAUCCCUUCAAAUCGUCGCAGAUCGAGUUAGCGGACGUUACUUCCGGGUUCCUUGCAAGCUUAGGAGUCGAACUAUACCUUAAUUUGGAGGAAAGAUCUCGGGAGCUCGAGAACCAGUGAGCUCCGACGAGGUGCCCUGUUGCUCCGUCGUGAUCGUGGGUGUUUCUCGGAGUUUUAAAGUUAUAGAGGGUCUUAAAACAACUUUACGAAGUUGUUAGAGAAGUUUUGGAAGGUUUUGGACAUUGGGACACUCAAGUUCAACGAGUUGCAGACUUAGCCGAUUUUUCAAGAAAUUUUCCGGCCAGUUUCCAUUUGUUUUAGGAUGUAAAAGUGGUAAGAACUUGUUUCUCUUGUUCAGAGCUUCAUUUUGGUACAAAUUUCAUGGAAUUUGAUUGAGAAAUGGUGAAGAUAUUGAAGUUCAAAGUUUUUCCAAAAACCGGCGAGUGCAGCGGCUGCCGGCGUCGGAAUUUGGUGAACCAUUGGAGAAGAAGGCGAAUAUUCCAUCAAUUUGAUGGAAUAUGCUAACGGCGUCAGGUAAAACUAACGGUAUAUACUGUCAUUUAACAAAAUAUUCUCUAACGCCGUUAGGGAAUCCGUCAGUGUGCCAAGCACGUGCCUGCGCAUGGGCGGUGCGUGUGGCCUUGCCUUGGCCGGCGCGUAAGGGCAUGUGGGAACAUAGAAUUUUUUUCCAAAUAUGGGAAUAUUCGUGGUGUCGAGUAGGCCACGAUGGUAUAUUCAAACACCUCAAUUGAGCAACGUAUGAGAAGUUAUUACAUAAUUUUGGUUAUAUGCUUAAAAUAACGUUAGAAUAGUUGUUUUGCAUAUAGGUGAGACGUUUCCAGAGGACGAGCACAGUCAAGUGAGACUUGGGGGCUACAACUCUUCCACAUAUCAGUGAGUAGGCUUUUGAUUUUCUAUAUAAGCAUAUAUGCUUUACAUUCUUCCCAUAAAGCUUAUUUAAAUGAUUUUAUAUGUUGAAAUGCAUGUCAAAUGUUUUAUAAUUAAUGUUGAUGCACAAAACCGGAGGUCUUGGAACAACGUAAAUCCGACCGUGAAUCUACAAGUAAUGUAAAUAACACAAGAUGUAUCGUGGUUCACCCCAAGGUUUGGGCUACGUCUACAUUGAUUGUAUUGUAUUUCUCUAAGAAGUGCGGGAGAGAGAGAGAGCUCUGGGAGUAAGAGUGUUGAGAGGGGUGAGAAGGCUCCAGAAAUGGCCUCUUUCAAUUAUGAGGGUGAGGGGUCCUUUUAUAGAAUAAGGACUCCUCACUUAUUACAUAUUUGCCCCUUCCUUUAUCACAUAAUUACAUUUAAGUCCCCUGAGUAUUUAUACGAGAUUUAAAUACGAGGCCCUAAAUAUGGUAUAAACAGUAGUCCCCCAAGUCUUCAGUCAAGAGAGUCUUUUGGCUGGAGACUUGAAAUUCAGUCCAUAUGUGGGUCGAAGUAACUAGAUGUUGUCUUGAACUGAUGCUUGAUAUGAGGCGGUGCUCAAUCUGCAAUGAUGCUCAACUAGAAGUAGCAUAUGCUGCGAGGCUGCUCGGCUCGUGGCUUAUGUUGCCUUGGUUGGCUCGGCUUGUGGCGUUGAAGGUGAGGGAGUCCCUUUUAUAGAAUAAGGGCUCGCUCCUCAAUACAUGAAUGAUGGGCUAGAGUUGAUGCUCUCUAAUGAUGGUGAGGGAGUCAUUUUUAUAGAAUAAGGGCUCGCUCCUCAAUACAUAAGCGAUGGGUUAGGAGUGAUGCUCGCGGCGAGGCGGUUCCUUAGCUGGAGGCAUUGCUCUCUAAUGAAAGUGAGAGAGUCCCUUUUAUAAAAUAAGGGCUCAUUCCUCAAUACAUAAGUGAUGCUCGCGGCGAGGCGGUUGCUCAAUUGGCGGCGUUGCUCUUUAAUGAAGGUGAGGGAGUCUCUUUUAUAGAAUAAGGGCUCGUUCCUCAAUACAUUAGUGAUGGGCUAGGAGUGAUGCUCGCGGUGAGGCGGUUGCUCAGCUGGCGGCGUUGCUCUCUAAUGAAGGUGAGGGAGUCCCUUUUAUAAAAUAAGGGCUCGCUCCUCAGUACAUGAAUAAUGGGUGCUCUCUAAUGAAAGUGAAGGAGUCCCUUUUAUAGAAUAAGGGCUCACUCCUUAAUACAUAAAUAAUGGGCUAAGUCCCCCAAGUAUUUUUCAUGAGGCCUAGUUGAGGCCCAAUAUAUGGUACAUAAUGUAGUCCCCCAAGUCUUCGGUCAAUAGAGUUUGUUGGCUGGAGACUUCAAAUUGAAUCCAUGUAUGGGCCGAAAUGGCGGUUGUUCGGAGACGGUAUUUGUAUACCUUGCACUGAAGCUUUGUAGGUUAAGCUUUGCAAGUGAAGCUUUGAAGCUGGAGCUCUGUAAAUGAAGUUUUUGAAGCUAGAGCUUUUGUAAAUGAAGCUUUUGAAGUUGAUUGACAUGAGUGAUGCUCAUGAAUGUUUAAUUGACAUGAGUGAUGCUCAUGGAUGUUGACAUGAGUGAUGCUCAUGAAUGUUGACAUAAGUGAUGCUCAUGAAUGUUUAUGUAUGAUUGAUAUGAGUGAUGCUCAAGAAUGUUUAUGUAUGAUUGACAUGAGUAAUGCUUAUGUAUAAUAUGAAGUACUGGGCGUACUUUUGAUCACCUGGUUGGUGGCAUGAAGGAAAGUACGAGUUGUACAUUUCAUUACCUGGUUGGUGGUAUAAAUGGCUAGUUGCCAAAUGAUAUCAAAGUACGGGUUGUACAUUUCAUCACCUGAUUGGUGGUAUGAAUGGCUAGUUGCCAAAUGAUAUUAGAGUACGGGUUGUACAUUUCAUCACCUGGUUGGUGGCAUGAAUGGCUAGUUGCCAAAUGAUAUUAGAGUACGGGUUGUACAUUUUAUCUCCUGGUUGGUGGUAAUAGCGGUAUGUUGCCGAAUAAUUUUUUGUAGUGCUGGGCGUACUUUUGAUCACCUGGUUGGUGCUAUUUUGGUCUUAUGGGCCUUCGCCCUCCACACAACAUGCCAGCCCAUUUAUUUUGGGCUUUGCCCUUUUUUUAUUUUUUUUAUUUUUUAUUUUUUUAUCAUUACCCUCUGAUAGGGUUUAUACAUAUUACCCUCUGAUGGGGUUUAUACAGAUGUCUCCGAAAGAUAAGAAAAAUAAAUUACAUUUUUUCAGCAUGUUAAUGAGCAUCUUCUGGUCCAACAGGAAGUGGAGACGGGAAACCUUGGUGGCCAUCUUCUUAUCUUUAAUCAUGUUAUCCCGUGGGAUAAUGAAGUAGUGGAAUAGUGGAGCAUAUUCUUUUCAGCUUUUCCUUUUCUACUUUCUGCUUUUCUUUCUGAUUUUCUUUCCGUUUCUUGACCUUGAUGAAUAUGGCAGGCAAGGAAUGAUAAUAGAUUUUAUCUCCUCUUUUGCUUUCUUCUUUUCACUUUCCUCUCUUUCUGUCUCUGAGCUGUCAUGCAUGUGCACCUAAUCUGUAGGUUGGCCACGAUGGUAAUGCUGUGUUGGUACUGCUGGAAAGGAAGGAGCCGAUCACGUUCUUUGCUUGACCAAAGCUUUUCAAACACUGCUUUUACCGUCCCCAUUCCUGUUGCACGCUCCCACACUGCUGCUCAACCUUGACGAAGCUAGAUCUCUCUUUAGGGCCCUAAGCUCCUCAGCCGACGCCAUCGUCUUUUCCACAGGGCAGAUCCAUGUAUCAUUGUCAUGGGAUUGAUUCACGUUCUAACCCAUAUUCCAUUUUCGUAUUUUUCGAGCCAUUAUUUGAUUCGGCACCGAUUCAAGGAAGCUUCAAUGGCAGCAAGAUGAGCAUCCAUGGUGGAGAGAUGCGAAGUCGUGGUUUAUCGAGAAAUAGUGAACGCGGUCGUAUCUGGGUCCAAAGCUACAUUCAUGACAUGGCUCACGUACAGCCUACCAUUCAAAACCUGUGAACUGAGUCAGCACCGAGUCCAGUUUCGACUCGUCACUCCCGACACCCCCCUCACCCAGGUCAUUUCCCUUGACUUGGUGUGAACUCGGAGUCCGCCAUGGUCAAAGGCAAGCUCCAACUCAUGGAAAAGGCCAAGCGUAUUUUAACGGUCCGGCUUGGCAGCUUGGUCGCGGGAUUCGAAGACAAAGAGGAAGAAAAUGGUGGGUCCGACUUGCCGUUAGAGUCGGGCGAUGAGCUGGAGACGAUUCUGCCAAACGGGCUCGGGUUCGGAUCUGGCAGAGAAAAAGAUUGACGAAGAUGAUGAGGAUUUCGAUGAUGAGAUGGUGGAUAGGGAAUCGGGUUUGAGGGUCCGACAGAGACCUGAAAUUGAGUGACAAGAACUACGAGACACCGUAAGCAGAUCAAUACCACUACCUAUGAACUUCUCCACAGUUUCUUCCAUCAAUUGGAUCUGCUCUGCGAUUCUUCAAACCAAAGCACUCUAGACCUGACGAAUCUCCGGAGCAGCUUUCUCGAUCUCGUCUGAUAAGUUUCGAGUCCUGCAAGAGUCGGAUGGGGAUCGAAAAAUGUUUAAGAGCUUGAGCUUGAAUCAGUUUUGCAUUGCACUUGCAGAAAGCUAUGGAGAAGAAGAAUCGAAUUUCUAGAGAGAGUGAGUUAGUUCAGUUUUGGGUUUUUUGUGGAGAUCAAGAAAGGGGAUGUCUUGAGAGAUUUAGUGGGUUUGUUUCUCACACUUCAGUUCUCUAAAUUUCUGCCAAAAAGUAGAGAGAGGGAAAGAAUGUGACUGUUUCCAUCGAUGUUACCGUGACCGAGAGCUGAAGCGGAAGACAUGGGUUUUGCAGUAACUGUGUAGGUGUUUGGUUAUUGGGUUUUUGUAGAUUCACGGUGGAGGUGAAAAAUUGAGAGAGAACCGACAUAGCUUUUCGUGUCGAUUCCCACAGACGACGCCAAAUGUUGAUGCACAAAACCGGAGGUCUUGGAACAACGUAAAUCCGACCGUGAAUCUGCAAGUAAUGUAAAUAACACAAGAUGUAUUGUGGUUCACCCCAAGGUUUGGGCUACGUCCACACUGAUUGUAUUGUGUUUCUCUGAGAAGUGCGGGAGAAAGAGAGUUCUAGUAGUGAGAGCGUUGAGAGGGGUGAGAAGGCUCCAGAAAUGGCCUUUUUCAAUUGUGAGGGUGAAGGGUCCUUGUAUAGAAUAAGGACUCCUCAUUUAUUACAUAUUUGCCUAUUCCUUUAUCACAUAAUUACAUUUAAGUCCCCUGAUUAUUUAUACGAGAUCUAAAUACGAGGCCCUAAAUAUGGUCUAAACAAUUAGAAUAUGCAUUUAGUAGUUAUAUAUGUUAUUGUUGACGUUGCGGACGCUCAGGUAAGUUCCAGGUGAGUUUAUAGAUGGUGGAUGUGAGUUGCAUGGUUAUGAUUACAAUUUAUGCAUUUAGAGCUCAUAAACCUGCACCCCAGUGUUAGUGCUCCCGCCCGUGGCCAGGGCACAAUCCUUCACGUGAUGUUCAUCUCCCGCACCGCAUGCUCACCUUGGAUCCAAGUUAGGUGCACAGUCCUGUCGUACAGACCACUAUAGGUGGUUCUGACUCGUAAUUAACCCGCGAUUAUUCGCACAGCCUUCACGUGAUCGUAGCACUUGAGCGUAUUUAUUUACACCUAGUCCUAUCGUACAGACCACUCUAGGUGGUUCUGACUCGUGUGCAGGCAUAUUUGAUAGCUAUAGAUUCAGCUGUACAGGCCACAAAUAGGUGGAUCCGGUUGACAUAUUACUUUUCAUUGAUUUACUUCACCUGGUUUACUUAUUUCAUUAUGUUGAGAUAUUUGGCAUGGCAUACAUGUGGAUUUGGCUAUUUCAAGUAUGGUUUCGAUAUAGAUAUGUAUUCUAUUUUCUGGAAAAUUAUACGGGUUUUACGGCGAGGGGUUAUUACUUGUUGAUGCACAAAAUCAGUGAGGACAUGGUACAACAGAAAGUGUUAAGUUUGUGACCUUCGCUAGAUUCCUCCGGUCACUAGUGUGGAUAAGUAUGUAAAUGGAUAGAGACAGAAAAGCAAACACAAGAUGUACAUGGUUCACCCAGAUUGGCUACGUCCACGGAGUAGAGGAGUUCUCAUUAAUUGUGAAGGGUUUACACAAGUACAUAGAUUCAAGCUCUCCUUUUGUAAGUACUAGUAAAUGAUUUAGUACAAAUGACAUUCGAAAAUAUUGUGAAAGAAUGAUCUCCAUUUAUAGAAGAGAGUUUCUAGUUUCAUUCUGACAUUGACACGUGUCGUGUUGUGAUUGGCUUUUGAUGUUGACAUGUGUCGCGCUAUGAUUGGCUUCUGAUGUUGACACGUGUCGCACUGUGAUUGGCCUCUUGGUUGGAAGGAAACUCUUCUGGGUCCUUGAUGGUAUAACGUUGACUGGUGCUCAGUAGUUUUGGGAUUGGUCAAGUAUGGUACAAACAGUGCUCCCCUAAGUUCCCGAGUGAGGGAAACUCCUCGGUUGGGGACUUGCAAGAUCCAAGCCAUUGAGUAAUCACGAAACUUCUAAGUAAGUAUCAUUUUCACUUGCCUUAUCUGUCUCAUACGUAGAUGUGGCAUCUUCUCUGGAAGUACUUUUCCUCCAUCCAGGGGUGGUUUCUUUAACCGAUGAAGGUGCACAAGGUAAUGUAUCAAUUUCACUUGAAGCUUACUUGUAGUUUUGGGCUUAGUCAAGUGCGAUACAAAACCCUAUAAUAGGAGUCCCAAGUUGCCGAGCUAGGAGAUUUGCUGAAAGAGGUAACAGACAAGGUAAGCAAUCAGACUUCCAAACAAGCAACCUGGAUUGAAGGUUCGACUUCGGCUUCCGGUUGAUUGUUCUCAUUCUCUUUGUGUCGUAAAUAGCAACAAGGAUCAGGAAAAGCAAAUGGAGAAGAAAUGAUACGAGAUACUUUUGCUUUUGAAGAAGUAACUUUCCACAUGCUUAUUCUUGAACUGGGCUGGAGGGUUUUCUGGUUUCCUUCAGAGUAUAAGGCCGACUCAAGAAUUUGAGGGUCAAAACAAGUCCAUUAAAUUAAGAGUGCAUUCGACCUUGAUGAUAUGGGAUACUUUUGCUGUUGACGAAGUAAUAAAUGAAUCGGCACGUGUUCUGUUGCGCUUGUCUCCACAUGUUUUCUUGUAUCCUUCUCACUUACCCUAUAUGUUCCUCAGGCAGAUGUGGUAUCUUUUCUGGAAGCAUAAGAUGUUGAAGAUGAGUACUCGAGAGCAAUGUCAGGUAAGUAAUCAGGCAAGGCGUUCUAGGCAGUCAAUUCCUGACUGUAAGCUUGAUUUCAAGUGCUGAUUGAUUGCUCUUUUUCUCAUUGUCUUGCAGGUAAGAACAAGGGCAAAGGAAAAGACAGGGAAAAAGCAUGAUAUGGGAUACUCUUGCUUUUGACCGUUAUGAUAUGAGAUACUCUUGCUCUGGUGUGGCUGGUUUGCAUAGGUAUUAUUUGGGGGGAAGAAAGUUGAGUAUUUCGAGAGGCUUCGUUAGGAGUGCCCUCUCAGAUAUGAGGAAGGGUUGAGCAUUUUUGCAGGUUUGCUUGUCCGUGGAGGAUGAAGGUCGACAUAUAUAGGAGUCUCCCUAACAACAAGUAGUAAUGCUAUUUCUUUACCCUUCUUGGUCGUAGCAAUGUAGUUGGAGCUGCAAGCUUCACGUGUUUUAACUUUGUCAGAGCACUUUGAAAACGUGGUAUGUGGUAUCUGGAAAGCUGAUGUUGUGUGUGAAGAUUGCAGACAAGCUUUAUCCAAGGAAAUCUGGCUCUCGAAGUUCGGAGAGCGAUGCCUCUACGAUUUUUAAACAAGUAAUCCUAUCGGGAAUCUGGCUCUCGAGAUUCGAAGAACGGUGCCUUUUCGAUUUUUGAGAAAGCAAUCUUGUUGGGAGUCUGGCUCUUGAGAUUCAAAGAACGGUGCCUCUUCGAUUUUUGAGAAAGUAAUAAUGCUAUUCAUUUACCCUUCUUGGUUAUAGGAAUGUAAUGGGAGCUGCAAGCUUCACAUGUUUUAACUUUGUUAGAGCACUUUGAAAAAGUGGUUUGUGGUAUCUGGAAAACUGAUGUUACGUGUGAAGAUUGCAGACAAGCUUUAUCCAAGGAAAUCUGGCUCUCGAAGUUCGGAGAGCGGUGCCUCUUCGGUUUUCGAACAAGCAAUCCUGUCGGGGAUAUGGCUCUCGAGAUUCAGAGAACGGUGUCUCUUCGAUUUUUGAGCAAGUAAUCUUGUUGGGAGUGUUUUCUCGAAUGUGAGUAAAGGUUAGGCAUUUUUGCCAGUCUGUCUUGCCACGGAGCACGAAGAUUGACACAUAUUGGGACUUUCUAGUUAUCAAGCAGUGGUGUUGUUCCUUUACCCUUGUGGUAAUAGUAGGGUAGCUGGAUCUUCAGAAUUUAUGUGUUUAAACUUUGUCAGAAAUAUUUGGCAAAGUUAUAUGUGGUACCCGAUGAGCUGAUAUUGCGUGUGGAAAGUGGUGCCUCUUCGAAAUCUGGAGAAUGGUGCCUCUUCGGAAUCCGAAGAGUGGUGCCUCUUCUAUUUUUUAAUCAAUGACCUUGUUGCCCUUUCUUUUAUAAGGGCACCAAUUGUGUGCAAAAAGUACAUUCAGAGAGUUAUUGCUUGUAGGAAUUUUCCCCUUACUUAAAAGAUUUAUUACACCUCAUUUCUCCUUCAUCAUUUCUAAAAAUGUUUGGCCCAUCCGACCGUCGUUUUGACUUGAACUUUGGUAAAGAGGCAGCCAUGCCUUCUCAAGACAAUAUAUGGCGCCCAUCCUUCUUAUCCGCUACUGGUCCUCUUACCGUUGGGGACUCUGUGAUGAAGAAUGAUAUGACCGCUGCGGUGGUGGCCAGGAACCUUCUCACUCCCAAAGAUAACAGACUACUUUCCAAAUGGUCUGAUGAGUUAGCUGUUAAGGAUUCUCUAGCUUUCAGUGUUCAGUGUGUUGGUUAUGUGCCUAAUAUGGCCCAACACCUAUUUGCUCGAACCCGCCAAGUUGAAUCAUUGGCGGCUGAAGUGAUAAGUCUCAAACAGGAGAUCAGAAGGCUCAAGCAUGAGAAUAAACAGUUGCACAAGUUCGCACAUGACUAUGCUACAAACAUGAAGAGGAAGCUCGACCAGCUGCAGGAAUCUGAUGGUCAGAUUUUACUUGAUCAUCAGAGGUUUGUGGGUUUGUUCCAAAGGCAUUUAUUGCCUUUGUCUUCUGGGCCUGUACCGCGUAAUGAAACUCCAAAUGAUCAACCUUUGAUUCCUUCUCCUUCUGGGGUUCUACCUAAUACUGAGGCUCCGAAUAAUCACUCUCUGGUGCCUCCUCUUUCUGGGGCUCUGCCGACUGCUGAGACUUCUCCUGAGCAACCUUUAUGAAGGCUCCCUCUUGUUUGUUUAUUUUGAUUCAUGUAUAUGUUUGUAACUUAUUGGAAAUAUUAAUAAACAAGCUUUGCUUCAUUUCAAUGUAUUGUGUUAAAUACACCAAGGCAUUCUUCACUAAGUUAUUUGAAUUUUUCCUUUUAUUGAAGCUUGUAUGUUGAAGCUUUGUGAGUGAAGCAUGUAGGUUGAGGUAGUUCUCCCUUAAUUUCCCGAGUGAGGAAAACUUCUUGUUUGGAGACUUGAAAAAUCCAAGUCACUGAGUGGUCGUGAGACUUGCGAGUAUUAAGGUGCAGUAGCAUAUGGUAGGAGUCCCCCAAGUCUCCGAUCGAGGGAGUUGACGAAUGAGGCAUUUCCUUUCUAAGUUGUAGCCCAAAACUCCUUCUUCAUGUAUAUUUAUUAUGAAAAUUGUUAGGCCCAAAAAAGAUGAGGCCUAGGCAAUUUUUUUUUUCGAAUUUUUGAAUUUCCGAAUUUUUGAAUUUUCGAAUUUUCGAAUUUUCGAAAUUCCAAAAAAAAAAAAAAUAUAUAUAUAUAUAUAUUUUAAAGCUUUGGUGUUGAAGCUUUGAGGUUGAAGCUUUGUUAGGCACCAUGAAUUGAUUUUGCUUCACACUAUCUUGAUCAAGAUAAAGUGACGCUUUUGGCUUUUGUGGGUCAAGCUUUUGUAGGUGAAGCUUUUGUGGGUCAAGCUUUUGUGGGUCAAGCUUUUGUGUUGAAGCUUUUGUGGGUAAAGCUUUUGUGUUGAAGCUUUUGUAGGUGAAGCUUUGGAGUUGAAGCUUUGUAGGUGAAGCUUUGGAGUUGAAGCUUUUGUUGGGUAACAUGAAUUGAUUUUGCUUCACACUAUCUUGAUCAAGAUAGUGUGAAGCUUUUGAGAAUUUGUAGUUGUCCUUCAUUGAUGAAGCUUUUGUUGGUGAAGCUUUGAAGUUGAAGUUUUGUAGGUGAAGCUUUGGAGUUGAAGCUUUGUAGGUGAAGCUUUGGAGUUGAAGCUUUUGUUGGGUACCAUGAAUUGAUUUUGCUUCACACUAUCUUGACCAAGAUAGUGUGAAGCUUUUGAGAAUUUGUAGUUGUCCUCCAUCGAUGAAGCUUUGUUGAAUUUCCCUUUUCUUUUUUUUUAUUUUUAUUUUUUGGGAAACUAGAAAUUUGAAAAUGUGGGAGAGCAAACAUAUACAAAUUUUACUUCCACACUGUUGAGCAAGCGAUUGUGAUGCAAGCCACACCUUGUAGUAGUCGAAGGUUUAGAUGAACCAUAUAAAUUGAAUUUGCUUCGAAGGUCUGAGAAUUGUAGUUGCCCUCCAUUGAUGAAACUUUUGUUGGCACCAUAAAUUGGUUUUGCUUCACACUAUCGUGAUUAAAAGUGUAUGAAACUUUUGGGAAUUGUGGUUGCCCUCCAUUGAUGAAGCUCUUGUUAGCACCAUAAAUUGGUUUUGCUUCACACUGUCUUGAUCAAGAGUGUGUGAAGCUUUUGAGAAUUGUGGUUGAACUCCUUUGAUGAAGCUCUUGUUGGCACCAUAAAUUGGUUUUACUUCACACUGUCUUGAUCAAGAGUGUGUGAAGCUUUUGAGAAUUGUGUCUUUUGAUAAAGCUCUUGUUGGCACCAUAAAUUGGUUUUGCUUCACACUGUCUUGAUCAAUAGUGUGUGAAGUUUUUGAGAAUUGUGGUUGCCCUCCAUUGAUGAAGCUCUUGUUGUUGGCACCAUAAAUUGGUUUUGCUUCACACUAUCUUGAUCAAGAAUGCGUGAAGCUUUUGAGAAUUGUGGUUGCCCUCUAUUGAUGAAGCUCUUAUUGGCACCAUAAAUUGGUUUUGCUUCACACUGUCUUGAUUAAGAGUGUGUGAAGCUUUUGAGAAUUGUGGUUGAACUCCUUUGAUGAAGCUCUUGUUGGCACCAUAAAUUGGUUUUGCUUCACACUAUCUUGAUCAAGAGUGUGUGAAGCUUUGGAGAAUUGUGUGGUUGCCCUCCAUUGAUGAAGCUCUUGUUGGCACCAUAAAUUGGUUUUGCUUCACACUGUCUUGAUAAAGAGUGUGUGAAGCUUUUGAGAAUUGUGGUUGAACUCCUUUGAUAAAGCUCUUGUUGGCACCAUAAAUUGGUUUUGCUUCACACUGUCUUGAUAAAGAGUGUGUGAAGCUUUUGAGAAUUAUGGUUGCCCUCCAUUGUUUAAGCUCUUGUUGGCACCAUAAAUUGGUUUUGCUUCACACUGUCUUGAUCAAGAGUGUGUGAAGCUUUUGAGAACUGUGGUUAAACUCCUUUAAUGAAGCUCUUGUUGGCACCAUAAAUUGGUUUUGCUUCACACUGUCUUGAUCAAGAGUGUGUGAAGCUUUUGAGAAUUAUGGUUAAACUCUUUUCAUGAAACUCUUGUUGGCACCAUAAAUUGGUUUUGCUUCACACUGUCUUGAUCAAGAGUGUGUGAAGCUUUUGAGAAUUGUGGUUGCCCUUCAUUGAUGAAGCUAUUGUUGGUACCAUAAAUUAGUUUUGCUUCACAUUGUCUUGAUCAGGAGUGUGUGAAGCUUUCUACGAGUUGUAGUGUUUGCAUUGUUAUAGAGGGGAAAUGUUUGAAGCAGAUGCAAGAGGGCUGAAUAGCUUGAUCUUCGUAUGCCAUGCACUAAAGUUGUUAGCUUGCAAUAAAACUUUGUUGGUGACUAUAACUCUUGUUGGGCAUAAGUGCUCCCCUAGUUGAGUUGUCAAGCUUGAGGGUUUUUUAUUAUUUGUGAAUGCUAGGAGUUCAUAUGUACAAGUUGUACCACUCGUCUUCUGGUAGGUGGAAUGAAUGGUAAGUUGCUUUCAUCACUUGGUCGGUGGUACGAAGGUGAGUUCCUUCUUCCCUUGGUUGGUGGCAUGAAUGGCAAGUUGUCAAAUGAUAUUAGAGUACAGGUUGUACAUUUCAUCACCUGGUUGGUGGCAUGAAGUAGAGAUGAAUGGGUCGUUACAUAAGGGCUAUGUGAGCUUCCACAAUCAAUGGGUCGUUGUGAGGGUAGAUGAUACCUCUUUCUUCCUCAGGGUAGAAACAUAUUGGAUCUUAGUUAGGCUUUUAAUACUUACCUCCCCUGAUGUCUUCCACGUAAAACACUUGGUGGCUAGACCUUAAAGCUCGUUCACUAUUUUUCAUGGCCCUGUUGGAAGAUUUAGAUAUGGGUGUGCCACCACUUAUGGAAUAUAUCACAUUUACCUGGCGUUGGUUACAGUUACCCCUUGGAAGGUGAAGGAGGAAUUGAUCAAUUUUUCCUUCACGUGCCAAAACUUCAAUAUGAUCACGAAGGGUGAUACACUUCUCGCCAUCAUGGCUGUUAUACUCAUGGUAGCAGUAAAACGUGCUCGUGUUUUUCGUGGGCUUGUAAUCCGGGUGCCUCGGCUUUGACUUCGGUAUCAAGUGUGCUAUGCUGGGGUAAAUGGCCACGCAUGUGGCGUUCAAAGGUGUGUAUGCCUCAUACCUCGGGGUAGGGGCUGUCCUGACACGUGCUUGACUUACUAUGUUGACUGCUUGGGGUCGGGGAUUAUCAUGGCGAUACCCUUGGUUAUCGCGGUAGUGUCCCUUACUCCUUUUACUAAAAUAGGACUGGUGAUGAUGGAAAUCUUUCCUUUUGCCCUGAAAUUGAUAUGUUUGUUGACUUGGCAAAGUAUGAAGUAAAGCAGGGGGAGGCACCGCUGCCGUUUGGAAGGUCGAGGUCUUCUCAUUUGAUUGGAUCUGGCUUCCACUCCUUACUUGCUGAUAAAGGGUGGUUGUGGGGGGUUUCCCUUGAUAUGUCCUUACUUCGGUGGAUGCAUGGUUGUAAGCCUGUGCCAUCACCUCAGAGUAAGUCUUCCAAGUGUUGGCAUUGAUCAUGUACUUGAAGAAACAAUCACGUAGGCCUGCCGUGAAGGCCUUGAGGGCGGUCUUGUCAUCUACCUCAGCGCAGCGAGAAUACUCAUGGUUGAAACGACCGGCAUACUCUCGUAGUGACUCAUCCGUCUUCUGGUGAAUAGUGUAUAAGUCAUCUGCAUAAUGCAAGCGAUCGGUCUGGAAGAUGUAUUGAAAGAUAAACAGUUUCCUCGAUUUCUCAAAUGAGUCUACUGUCUCAGGUGGAAGACGGCUAUACCAGUUUAGAGCUCCGCCAGAGAGGGUGGAGGGGAAGAGAAGACAUCGCUCUUCGUCGGUGUGCAUCCGAUAUGCCAUGGUGGACUAAAAAAGGUUAAGGUGUUCAAUUGGGUCUUCCCUUCCAGUAUAGAGUUGUAAACCAAGCUUUUGUUUUGUCUUUGCUUGAAUGGGGUGUCGAGGAUCCUCAUUGUGAGAGGGCCAUGCCUGGGUUGGUUCUAAUCAGGUAUCUCAGCCUGACGUUCGGCCUUCAACUUGUUUACUUCCUCAAGGAGUUGUAGGACAAGGGGGUUCUGAGUGGAGUCAUGUACCACUGGGAUUUUCUUUCGUAAGUCUCCAUCGUCUCUUGGAAGUAGGAAAGUUUGAGCAAAGGCGUGUGAUUUUUCCUUGGACUCGCUAUACUGACUUCUAAGGCAAGUCUGUCGGAAUACCUCAGAAUCCCCUGUACCUUCAUCUCCCUCUGAAACCUGUCGUUCCUUCCCUAGAUUGGCAGAUGGCUUGGGUCGUGGGAGGGGACCGAGUCUUUCAGAAACCCUUGGGUCAUUAAUCUUUGAGCAUAUGUGAAGGGGAUUCUCUCGACGUUGCUUUAAGAAAUCUCGGCAGUCACGAUAAACGACUUUCGAUCCUUCUAACCCUUCUGCAAUGAGGUGUCUUCCUCCACUUCUCCUGCUUCGGGUCGAAGUAGCUGGGUUGAGAGAUGUCUCAUGUUGAUCAAUGUUUUGAUGAUUAACUCGCUCUUCAUCAGGGAUACCCAUGUCAAAUGAAGGUGACCCUCCGUGUUGGAGGGCACCCAGAUGAUGGUUGAUGUCCACAUGGGCAACGAGCUUGCGUGUUUGAGUAUGCCUAGUUUCGUGGAGCGUCUCAAAUAACUUCUCAUACUGCUCUUGGAGGACCUUAUUCUUCAUUGUUAUCUUGUUAUUCUGAGCUUCUAGCUCAUCGACUUUAGCUUGAAGAGCAACCCUCUUUCCUUCCUUCUUUCGUUGCUUCGCACUAGGUGCAAGAGGGGUGUCAUUCUGUGUGCUGUGGCUUCCUUCGCUUCCCAUAUUGGAGAGGGAUGCCUGGUCAAAAGAGAGUGUACGAAUGGUGGAAACUAGCUUGACAAAGCUGAAGAGAGUGGGAAUAAGUGUCGUUCGCACAGACAGCGCCAAAUGUUGAUGCACAAAAUCAGUGAAGACUUUGGUACAACAUAAAGUGUUAAGUUUGUGACCUUCGCUAGAUUGCUCCGGUCACUAGUGUGGAUAAGUAUGUAAAUGGAUAGAGACAGGGAAGCAAACACAAGAUGUACAUGGUUCACCCAGAUUGGCUACGUCCACGGAGUAGAGGAGUUCUCAUUAAUUGUGAAGGGUUUACACAAGUACAUAGAUUCAAGCUCUCAUUUUGUGAGUACCUGUAAAUGAUUUAGUACAAAUGACAUUCGGAAAUAUUGUGAGAGAAUGAUCUCUAUUUAUAGAAGAGAGUUUCUAGUUUCAUUCUAACAUUGACACGUGUCGUGUUGUGAUUGGCUUCUGUUGACACGUGUCGCGCUAUGAUUGGCUUCUGAUGUUGACACGUGUCGGGCUAUGAUUGGCCUCUUGGUUGGAGGGAAACUUUUCUAGGUCCUUGACGGUAUAAUGUUGACCGGUGCUCAGUAGUUUUGGGAUUGGUCAAGUAUGGUACAAACAUUACUUUUAAUAAGUGUUUCUGAAAAGCUUUGUUAUUGCCUACUCACACUUUCUGUUUUGCGUCUUUCCAGGUUCUAGGUAGGUGUGCUUGUUGGUGGCUUGUGAGGAGUUGAUGGCGGUUCUGACAGACUGUAAUUAAUGUAGGACCAUCUCUCUGGUAUUAUAUAAUUAGUAUUUGUCCUGCUGGACUGCACUUAGGUUACCUAUGCUCUGGUUAUGUGUAAUUAUACUUAAAUCUCGUUGCUCGCACCUAUAUUUUUUGUCUAGUGUAAAUUAGUUAGCUUGGUUUUUAUUUACUCACAUUUUUAUAUCCUUAUCACUUCCACAUCGUGCACAUGGUUACGUCACCCUCACGUGACGGCCAACACACCUCAAUUUAGGUCGAGGUGUGUCACAAGAAGUGAUCAUUUAAAUCAAAACCUUGAGAAGAUUAUGUUCUCCGUAAUUAUAUUUAAAAAGUUGUUUUCAAUUACCAUAUUAAAAUUCCCUCACAUUUUUUUCAUACCUACAAUAAUUAAACGUAGCUCUCCAUCCAAUUUCUUGAGCUUGGGUGUCAUCUUGAAGAAAUUUUUCAUUGUGCUCGUAACAUAAGUAGCACACUACGUGUUAUUAUACAAGUAGUGGAAAAUUUUAUUUUUUAUAUUAUUAACUUUUAACAUAAAAAUCUUACCACUUAUAUAAAGACAUAUUUAAUACCGUAUUUCAGGCACAUUAAAAAAUAUCUUAUCAUCUUGACUACUAUUUAAAACAACACUAUAAAAAUAAAACUGGGAGGAGAAAAUGGCAAAGUGACGUGCAAGGCACACAAAUGAACAUAGGAAAUAGAGUGAGUGAAGAUUAAAAAAACAAAAGAAAAGUUUCUAAUGAUUUAAAAAAUAGAACUCAAAUCUUCUUCGGAUCCUCAAAAAUUGAAUUUAAAGAUCAAAUAAUCCGGACUAUUGAAAUUUGAUUUAACGACUACAAUUAUUAUAACUUUAGAGAGACCUCUUAUUUGUAACCGUUUGAUCAAAUUUCAAUGAUCCGAAUUAUUUGAUUGUUAAGCUUAAUUUUUGGGAAUCUGGGUUCUAAAAAAUACAAGAGAAAUGCAAGUGAUGAUUAAAAAAAGCAAGAAGUGUUGUUUUGUCAAAUCCCCCAACGUGGUUUCCACCAAAGAAAACAUUGGGCACCGUCCACUGGCCGGUCCACUCACGCGAGUAUGGUAAGUUUGUUUUUUUUAAUUUUUUAAUUUUUUUUAUCUUUAUCAUUAAAUAAAAUUAUUAAUUUUUUUUAAAUAUAAAAUUUUAAAGUUGUUUUUAUUAGUUUUUUUUUUUAUUCAAUUCUUUAUUUGUGAGAUGACGGGAGGAAUGACCUAAGCCUAAUGCUAAAAGUUCAGGAGAACAACUAAUAGCCGCACCAGUCUCCAAACCCAGUACAUUAAGAAAUUUUUAGUUGUGACGAGAAUAUAAAUGGUACACCAUGUGUUUUAACAGAAGUGAUGAGAAAUUUUAUAUUUUAAGUUAUUAACUUUUUAGCGCACAUAUUCCACUAUUUGUAUAGUAACACGUGGUGUAACACCCUAUAUACCAGUUACAUUGAAAAAUCUCUCGAGUACACUGAGACAAUCGACUAACUUGUAUUGUACAUGCUAAUUUAUUACUCACGUUUGGCAAUUAUCUAGAAAAGAAUUUUGUAUUAUAGAAAGGACUGGAAUCACAUCCGGAUCCCUCCUGCUAAGCAAACUAAGCAAAACAUCCUAUCCUUUCAUUUUUUAUCUUGUGGCAAAAAUCAAGGUUCUAAAAAACGUUAGGCGCUAGUCGGGCGGCGAGUUAACCCCUAGCGCCUAGGCGCCUAGGCGGGGUCUAGGCGGCCUAAGCGAAUUUAAGUAAAUUUCUUGUAUAUCUUGUAAAUAAAUGAAUAUUGACACUUACAAAAAAAUUAUACUUGUAUGAGAUCCAUGGAUAAGAUAAUAAAAUAAUGAUAAAAGGCAAAAAGAGUAUCCAACAAGUCCAAAAUUUUAAAACACAUUAAGCAUAUAUGUCAUAUAACCAUAGUGAGGAGUAUUGUAGGAUGACACAUGUACAACAAGCUCACAAUUUAAAACCACAUAUUCAGCAAAUUUCAGUAAAUUUAUUAUAUAUCAUAUAAAUAAGUGUUUAUCAUAUCUAAAAUAUACAUAAUUUCAUUUAGAAUUAUAAGAUAAUCAAAUUUAAAUAUUAAAUAAUAUGUUUUUUUAAGCGAGAGCUUUAACAUUUUAAGUACAUAAUAAAAAUACGUAUGGUAUGAUCUUAAAAAAAUAAAAUAAAACAUUACAAAAAAAAUAAAAAAAAGAAUGAAAAGUAAUAACGAGGUUAAGAGUGGAAAAAGAAAAGGGUAUAAAAAGUAGUACAAAAAAUGGUGAGAUCCAUUCAAAGAAAACGUGCAGGCUGCAGUAGAUGCUUUUCCUAGAUAAAAGAUGGUGGGACCAUCUUGAUUGAAUCAUGCAAACUGAAUAAUGAUCCAUGUUUACAACCAGACAAAAACAGAAACAAUAUUAAAAACAAAAUAAAUAUGCUAUAAUCGUAAUAAACAAAUUAGCCUUAUGCAGAAACCAAGAUAAAAAACAAAUAAACAAAUUAAACAGCACAAGAAACAAGGAGAAAAAAUAGAUAAACUAAUUAACUAGCACAGGAACCAAGAAGAAAGAAAAUAAAGUAAAGCAUCAUCUUCAUCUUCCUCGCGCCGAGUUGCACGGCGGCUCUGCAACAAUUUUUUCUAGAUUCUGGCGUGCUCUACAAACGCCCGUCUAGCCUCCGCCUAACACCGUCCUGAUCGGCAUAACUCUGACUAGUCCCGCCUAAUCCCGCCCAAGCGUCCAUCUAAUAUAUUUCCGAUUUUGUGUCCGAUUGGAAGCUAAUCGCCGCGGCAACCGAACGCCCAGCGCCUAAGCGCCGCCUAGACCGAUUUUUAGAACACUGCUAAAAAUAAACUUAAAUAGUAAAAAAUUUCACGCAAAACAAGACAAGAUGAAAAUAGAAGGUUGUGAUGUUUUGCUCAGUUUGCUCAGCAGGGGGAUCCGGAGGUGAUCCCAGUCCUUACAGAAAACCACUUAAUGUGGGGUUGUAUUCGGAUAAUAGGUUUAAAAUAACAAAAUUUAUUUAUUUAUCACACACUAACCAAUAUCAUCAAACGUCUAAGCAUGGAUAUACCACUCAGCAAAUUCCAAACCUUAAAGCUCCACAUUAUUCUCACAACUCUACUCUUCCAAGCGAUAAAUUUUACAUACAAAUAUUGGCACAUAAAAGUGCAGGCAUUGUUCUUAUUCAUAGUAAAUAGAAUGCAGCUGGUACGAUAGGGUUUAAAUUAUUCUUGUCAUUCACUGGCAAUAGAACGCUUCACAGUAAUGACGGUACCAUUCACUUGACAUGGUUUUGGAGCCACUCCAACAAGUCUUGAUAAGCCUCCUCAGCAGCCUUACAAGCUGCUUCAUCUUCAUCGUUGUACCUAGUGGUCCACCCGUGUUCCACUUUUGGAAAUAUCUUCACACGGCUUUUGAUCUGUGAUUCCAUAAACCAAACUGUCAUUCCAAAUACAUAAACGCGAAACGUUGAAGAAAUAGAGCCACAUUAAGAAGGUAGAAUAUUUAGGCAUAAUAUAUAAGCCCUUGAACACCUUUGGUUUUGUAAGGGCAAGUUCGACCUAUAACCCGUGACAUAUUUCUACCAAUAACCCAUGACAGAAUGAGAACGAUUAACCUGAAGUCAUCUCAAGGGCUAUAAGGAUGUCCAUGAUUAAAAUCAACAAAUACAUUGAAAAGUGUUUCGAUCGAGAUAUUUCCUACCUCAGGUUUUGCAGCUAAAGCCUCCUCAAAUUGUUUCACGACUUCAGGUGGAGACAAAUGAUCAAUCUCAGCGCCAAGUAUUUGAGUGGGAACCUUAACCGCUGCAAUUUACCCCCAGGAAUUUAUCAAUAAACACAGACCGAACCGUUUUUUAUUUUUCUAUCUACACUUUCUUAGGGUAAAUAUUAGAAAACGUAGGUAUGUGUUCGUUUAAAUUGACACCUACACUAAUUAGCUAAAGAUUUCUUGAAUAUUAAAUAGAGAAAUCGUACCCUUGAUAUCAUCCAGAGUGACAAAUGCAGGAUGACACAUAGCAGCGGCUUGGAUAAGGUCAUGCUUUGAAAGUUCAACCACAACCUUGGCUGAAAACAGAACAAAUGAUUCAAGGUCAACCGAAACAUUUUCCCAUAGGUUGAACUACUAAAUUACGGCUGAGAAGAAAUCCGAUCGAAAAGAAACCAAAAUUUAGAAAUACGAGACAUUCUAUUAAACUGAAAAAGGAACUAAAAAAUUAUAAAGAGAAGAAUCCACCAGGAGGGGAAAAUGAGCUCACCCCCGUAACAGAAUCCUACAGCACCAACUGCAGAAAUACCUUUACUUUUUAAAGCUUCAAGUAAUGGUUUUGUAUCUUCGAAUGCUUUGUCCUGUUUAGAAGAGCGAAACAUUUUAACAAUACUUCUACAAUCAACAGUUUGAUUUUAAAACACUACAAAAUCAGGUCUUUUUAUUUCGUCAGAGGUGGAAAAAAUCAUAUAAACUUUGAAAACAAGAACAGUAAUUCGACUUCCAAGCUGAAGCCACACGCAUCUUCAACUUAAAACAGCCUCAAAACGAGAAUUUCACAUUAUCUUAAACAUUUUAUGCGAAUUCAAGAAUCACAAAGGAUACUUGUAAAAGAAUUCAAUUAUAAUUAAAGGAACAAUUUCUUGAUCUCUACAUGAUAAGAGAUCCAACCGGUUCAUGAUGUUUUAUCCAGCCAGGGAGAGCGGCAAAUCCGUCCUCUCCGAGUUCAAAAGGGUCUCCGUAAAAGAAGUCAGGGACCACAACAAAAAAGCCAGCAGCUGCAAGUUUGUCUGCCAUCUUCCUUCAAAACAGAAGGCAGGUGGUAUUAGUUGAAGGGUACAUGAGAUUAUGAAAACACGCAAAUGAUAUAGUGAUUGAUCAAGUGACUAACACAACUGUGCUUCGAUUUUAUUUUUAUUUUUAUGAUGUUGAGAACUAGAAGGAUGAUCUAUAUUUCUAGACAGUGGUGGAUCCAGAAAUCUAAACUAGAAGGGACCUUUAAGCCAUACAAAAAUAAUUAAACAAAGUAAUUGCAAUUUAUUGAAUGGGAGAAAAAGUAAAGGUUUUGUUUUUUGUAUUGGAAUGACAAUUUUUAAUCAAAUAAGAGUAGUAGAGCUUAAAAUUUUAGUAUUGAAAUGAUUAAUAUAUCAUAAGAACAAAACUUAUUUAUGAGCUUUGAUAAAUAAAAGAUUAAUACGUUAGAUUCAAACAAAAUUUUUUAGUCAAGACUUAAAACCCGAUCUUGUUCUAGACCGUCUUAAGUCUUGUUUUACCCCUUGUUUUAUAUUAACUGUCUAAAAAAGUGGAUAUGAUUUUUAUAUGGUAAAACAUAAGGCUAAUUAUUACAAAAUAAAUAAGUGGGUUUGGUUUUGAUAUGGUAAACAGAAGGCAAAUUAUAAAGGUUUUUUUUUUCUUUAGUUCUCUGAAAUGCAAUUCAGAGAACUAAUCCAUCACACCGUUGCAACACAAAGAAAGUAGCUGUAGAAAAACGGAUAUGCAACAAGUCAUACCUCAAGUUUGGAGCAUCGUAUCCUGCACAAACAAUAAACAUGUUAAAAUAACAAGUGGUUUGCUGAUACAAUGUUAUAGACUCAGGAAGCAAUUUUAUACAACUGAUCGAAAAUCAGUUAUUUCCCGCGAUCGGGGAAGGAACAGAAACAGACGAAAGGAACACACAAAAAGGCAAACAAACUAUGCUCUGAUAUGACAUACAGUUACAAAUAUCCUCAGUCAACCAAAACAUACUAUGCUCUGAUAUGACCUAAAGUGAACACAGCUGAGGCUAGAUUAUCAUCAGUCAACCAAAACAUAUUUAUAGCACCUAUUAACAUAGUAGUUGAGUAUCAAACUUGUCUAGUAAAUAUCGCUAGACUGACAUAACACCAAUUAUACACUCCAAAAAUCUAUACCCUAUAAACAAAAACCAUACACAGGCCAAUCAAAACACAAUAAAUAAACAUAACCCAUGUCAGAAAAUGAAAAAAAAAUUGCAGAAAUUACUAAACCAAAUUAAACAGCAGAGAUUUUUGAAGUUGUGGGAGCUUAGAAAGAACCAAAAAUAUCAGAGAGGAGAAGAACGGCGAGCUUGGAGUCAGGGGAGCCGACAAGAUAGGUGUCGAGACCGCCGAACUUCUCGACGCGGCCGGAGCCACUCGAUGGGUUCAGGGUUGGUGGGUGGGAGCAGCACUGAGGGCCUGACAUUUUUGUUUUUGUUUUUCUCUGAAACAAACACACAGUCUGCUCAUCUGAUCAAAUAAUAUAUAGAGUUGAGUUGACUCGUUAACUAAUUGAUUAGAAAGGAAGGUUAGGCUUGGGAGAGGGAGAGAAACUCUAGUUAACAUGCAUUAAACAUUGACCCUCCUUCUUUUCAAUAAUUACGAUCUGAUUUUACUCAAAUUUAGAGUGGCUAUAAUAUUACGCUCACCUUAUUCCCAUAACUUUGGAAUCGUAUCCAAACCUGCUUUUGAUGACUUUGACAAAUGGACUACCAAACCAACACCAUGACUUUAACAAAUGAACUCCCAAACCAACACCACUGAAUAAGAUUUACAAUCUCAUUGUAAUACAAACAUCUAGUAUUAUUGAUAGGAACAUAUUUAUGUGACUUAGUUAGCUUGUUCUUGUGCAUUUGUAUUGUUAUUUCUUAGUUAAUUAUGUAUUUUAAACUAUUUUCGUGUGUUUGUAGGUCAUAAUAACAAAGUUAGCAAGAAAGUGCAUUUUGGAGCAUUUUAGAGCAUUUUUUAGCCAAGAUUGGAUAGUGCAAGCAUGGAGACAUGAGGAUGCAUGUUUUUGAAGAUUUGAAGGCUAGAAAUCAACAUGUUUGUGUGCAAGUGUGUUGACCUACAACUCCAAACAUCCAUCCACUACACCCAUUACGUCCACUCAUUACCAAACAUCAAUCUACUACACCCAUUACAUCCACUUAUUACCAAACACUCAUCCACUACACUCAUU
rnacentral:lncRNA from 1 species